rnacentral:lncRNA from 1 species
CAGGAUGCAGCUCUCUGCAGCCUCAACCAGCCACCACCGGCCCCGGCAUAUUCGCUCCAGCCUCUCACAGAGCCAGGGCCGCACAGCCUCCAGGAGAUGCUGGUUUUGUUGGAAUAGUCCAGCCCACUCCUCAGGCAGGAGGCCACUCACACGCUCUGGCCCUGCAGGCCCCUGCUCAUCUGGGGGCAGUGUUCCCUGUGGAGAAGAUGGAGGGGACACCUCAGGGCCAUGGAUGCUGUUUUCUUCCACGUGACUGGAAGCUCUCCCUGCCAUGCUAUGGGCUUCUGGUGAUUCUGCAGGGGUGGUGAUGACCAACUCUACGUAGUCCCAUUCAUCCUGCUCAGAAAACCUGAUGGUCUCUAUCGGUGUCCUGCAGAGUGGGCAUGAGGGAUUUCUGUGUGUCCACCGCAGGAUGCAGCCCAGGCAGAAUUGGUGGUGACAGGGCAGAGCAGAAGCCACGUCUUUCCAGGAGUCCUGGCAGAUGGGACAGUUGCUGUCUCUCUCCGUGGCCAUUUCUGUCUCAAGCCAGACUGGCCCAGGUUCUGCUGACAUCCAGAUAUAAGCAGUGAGAUGUCACAAUAAAUCCCCAUGAGAUGUCACAAUCUGAUACUCAGUGAUGCUACUAUCCAUGAGUCAGUGAAAUCACAAUGAGAUGUCCACCUCUGCAGACAUACAGGAGAAAAUGAAAAUAUCAAUUUUUUUUUUCAGUCUCUACACCUUCAUGUUGCUCUACCUGAGCCACCAGCAUCACAUGUCCUUGGCUCUGUGUCUCAUCCACACUCCUGACACCUUGCCAAGGUUUCCUGGGAGGUGGUGGUGCCACUCUGCAAGGGUAGAUCUGUCUUUUCUCACUGUGCUCCCAAAUCCACUCAUCUGCAGUGUGGAGGGAGCUGUAAAUCUGUGCAGCCAGGCUCCCAGCAGGGCCCUCUCUGCCUUCCUGAUUUGUGGGGUUUUCCCACAGCUCAUGGGAACUGACCAAUCAGGUCACUGCCGCUGCUCCCCAACGUGGCGCACCACCAAUCUCGGUAUGCAAAUGAGGCAAAAACGGUUAUGAGUGCUGAGAGACCCCCUAGAUCAAGCAAACCAGAUGCAGGAGAGACAAAAGCCUCGUAGCCUAACCGUCAGAGAGACCAGGAUGUUCCUAGCCUUGACUCAGAAUCCUCGCCAUCACCACAAAAGUGAUUGACCGGGAUGACACCCCUACACAAAUGAGCCAUGAGAGGUCUUCCAUGGUACUCCCUUGAGGACAGAAGCCCAGGCCUGCUGACAAGACAAUUGACAGGACUGAAACACCUCCUUCCUGGUGACCUUGUGGGAACAGCGGCAGCAUGCUCAGCCUCCUGAGCCCCCACCCUGGAGCUGGUAACUCAAUAAAGGCACAAAAAGGACUCA